AGCGAACGCUGGCGGCAGGCUUAACACUUGCAAGUCGAGCGGGCACUUUCGGGUGUCAGCGGCGGACGGGUGAGUAACGCGUGGGAACGUGCCCUCUGGUUCGGAAUAACUCAGGGAAACUUGAGCUAAUACCGGAUACGCCCUUUUGGGGAAAGGCUUGCUGCCGGAGGAUCGGCCCGCGUCUGAUUAGCUAGUUGGUGAGGUAACGGCUCACCAAGGCGACGAUCAGUAGCUGGUCUGAGAGGAUGAUCAGCCACACUGGGACUGAGACACGGCCCAGACUCCUACGGGAGGCAGCAGUGGGGAAUAUUGGACAAUGGGCGCAAGCCCGAUCCAGCUAUGCCGCGUGAGUGAUGAAGGCCUUAGGGUUGUAAAGCUCUUUUAUCCGGGACGAUAAUGACGGUACCGGAGGAAUAAGCCCCGGCUAACUUCGUG
rnacentral:rRNA from 1 species